AAAAAUCCAAACCAAUAUUAGAGCCAUGUACCAAGAUCAUGCAUAGUACAUCAUGGUUCUUUUAUAGUUUUAUGAGUAGGUUAGAUGUAUAUUAAGGCUUCAAAUAACUCCCAUCUAUCAGACGAAUCAAAACAUUCCUCACCGAUCGAAUUCUUGAGAAAGAUAUUGCCAUAGUCAGAUUCAAAUGAGCAUAUAUCUUAUUAUACUUGGAAUUUUUGAGCUCAUGACCUAUAAACAGAUAAAUAAUUGAAUUAUCUUUUCAACGAUACCAAUUUUUCCUAAAUCCAAUAUCGGAGCAAAGAGUUAUUCCUAUUUUACUCCAGUAUGUCAGGCUGGAAACUGUGUGACAACAUUCGUGGUAGCUUACCACAUUUGUGACUCCCUAACAUGAAGGUCGUCAGCCUUAGGUAGAAUCCAGCUCCUGUGUGACGACAUUCAUGGUAGCUUACCAUAUUUGUGACGCCCUACCACAAAGGUCGUCAGCCUUAGGCANNNNNNNNNNNNNNNNNNNNNNNNNNNNNNNNNNNNNNNNNNNNNNNNNNNNNNNNNNNNNNNNNNNNNNNNNNNNNNNNNNNNNNNNNNNNNNNNNNNNNNNNNNNNNNNNNNNNNNNNNNNNNNNNNNNNNNNNNNNNNNNNNNNNNNNNNNNNNNNNNNNNNNNNNNNNNNNNNNNNNNNNNNNNNNNNNNNNNNNNNNNNNNNNNNNNNNNNNNNNNNNNNNNNNNNNNNNNNNNNNNNNNNNNNNNNNNNNNNNNNNNNNNNNNNNNNNNNNNNNNNNNNNNNNNNNNNNNNNNNNNNNNNNNNNNNNNNNNNNNNNNNNNNAUCUCCUCAGGAACAAGAGCAUUCUUUCUCAAAGGGGUUAAACCCUAGUCAACAAAAAUCAAGGGCAGGCCUAAGGAUUUCUUCAGGAACCUUCAGAAACAUUAGAUCUCUUUCAAGAUUAAGCUUUAAGGUAUGCAUAGUGUUCAUCUAUGGAUUCAAUUCGUUCAUAGAGUUCAAGAACCAUGCUUUUAAAUGUUAUUUUGUAAACUUUUGUGGUGAUAUAGGCAUGUACACGUUGAUGAUUGUUGUUUAAGUUUCAAGAUGAUAUUUAAGGAUGUUUUUCAUGAAAUAUAUGUGAUUGUUGGUUGAAAAUCAUGAACUUUGGGUGGGUUGAACUAAUGCAAGUAUGAAAUCCACCUAUGCCUUAAAGAAUACAUAUAAGAUGUUUGAUAAAAUGCCUAGGAUGUUAGAAGUUCAUAUUUACAUGAUUUUAUGAUAUCUAAAUACAAGUCCAUCUUAGCGAUACGCUUCAAUAUAAAUGCCCAUGUUAUUUAUGUAUUCUUAUGGUGAUGGCAUGAAGUAUCAAUUUAACUAUGUGCCUUGAGCUAGUGUCAUGUUUUCCAAAUUCUCUCAGUCAAGCCAUGAUUCAUAGAACUCAGUCAGUCAUGUGACUCAGGAAAACUUAGUAAACUCAGUAAUCUUACAAAUCUCAGAAAUUCAGUAAUCUCAGCAGUAUUUCGUCAGUCGAUGGAACUCAAUAAACGUAGUCCAGUUUAGUUCAGUUAAUCAUGUUUAGUGUCUAUUCAGAUGGGAGUAGGAUACAGCACCGAGUGAGCCCAAGUAUGGGAACUCACCUGUUAUUAGAGGGUGUGAUUCUUAGAAGCAAUCCUUGCGCUGCAGAACUACGUAGCCAGCUUAGGUUGAGACAUCAAACCUGCUAGUUGAAGGUAGAUGAGGUGGCUUAACCUGUUAUAAGAGGGUCCCACCAUUAUUCUUAGAGUACCUAUUAGAUGAGGGAUCACUCACAGCUUGUCCUUACCAGUGGGGUGGUAUUGACACCCUUUCAAUUGGGGUUACAAAUUGGACCCCAACUCAGCUAUAAUAGCUUAUUAAGGGCAUGUCGGUUAAAUAACUACUUCCCACAGUUAUAGUCUCAAUCUUAGUCUCAGUAAUAGAACUCAGAUAGUUCUUAAGAAUUUAAGAAAGGGUAGAUGAGGUGGCUUAACCUGUUAUAUAAGGGUUUCCACCGUUCUCACUAGAGUUACCUGUUAUAUGAGGGUUGCUCACAUGUUAUCCUUACCAGUGGUGCUGACACCCUUCCAGUCAGGGCAGAGAUUGGACCCCAUCUUAGCCAUAAUGGCACAUAUGCGGCAUGUCGAUUAAACAACUACCUCCCAUAAUUUCAGUAUCAGUAUCAGUAAAAAAACUCAGACAGUUCUUCAGAUAUUAGUAUACCAGGACUAUUAGAUACGGUCAAAUUCAGUUAUAGCAUGGAACUCAAAGAGUUCAACCAGAUUCAGGGCUGUCAGAUACAUUCAUCCAUGUUAUCAGAACUACGAUUCCAGCCAUGUAUUAGCGUACAUAUUUAGCCAUCACGUACUCAUGAUCUUAGUUACUAUGUAUGUAUAUUUGUACUCUUACGUUCAUAUCAGUCAGUCAGUGGUAUUAUUUAUGCACGUAAACCCUUGCAUUAGCCUACCUCACCCAUAUACUCAGUACUCCAGUUGUACUGACGCAUUUGCGCUAUGGUGCUUUCUUUUCAUGUUACACCAUAGGUUCAGAGGCACGAGUCCCAGACCAGCAGUAGCAGUCGCAUUUAGCAUACAGAGUUGCAGUGAGUCCUUUCCAUUCGAGGACGAUAUUAUUUGAUUUAUUCCUUUAUUUCUUCAGUUCAGUUUUACGGAGUUAGUUGGAGACAUGUUCCUUCAACUCUUUAUUUCAGAUAGUACUUAGAGGCUUUCGGAUUUACGCUCAGAUUUAGCUUUCAGAUUUAGUUUUUAGUUGUUUUGGGUAUUUUUCGCCCAUAUGGAUGUUAUAUUAUUUCAGUUGAACCUUAUGGCCUAUUGUGCAUGUUUUCCAUAUUAUUAUGUUAUGAAUUGCAGUCUACAGGUACAGAUAUUAGCCAUGGGUUAGCUUGUGGUCCCUCGGGGUCAUAAGCAUUGUGUAGCAUUCUGGUUCAGAUAAUUAGGGCGUUACAAACUUGGUAUCAGAGCCUAAGGUUCAAUAGAGUCCUAGGAAGUCUGAAAGCCGCAUCUAGUAGAGUCUUGUACAUGGGUGUGUUGCGCACCAUAUUUAUGUACAGGAGGCUAUGAGAUGUUUUAGGAACAGUUCCCUUUCUUUAGUAUUCAUGUCGUGCUAGUAAGCAUAAUUUUAAGUCAGUCUCUCAGUCUAAUCCGCUUUUCUCUUAUUUCAGAAAUAUACCUCUAAAGAGAAGAAAUUAGUCAGCUCCUCAGCCCGAAGAUCCUUUGGGCGAACAUGUUUCUCAUGCGGAGUUCAAGACCUCAUUUACCACUCUUGCUCAGUCUGUUUCUGCCCAGAAUGAAUGACCAACAGUCGUUCCGGCCAACCCAGUGGCCAAUUCAGCAGCAGCUAGGAUUCAGGACUUCACCCGAAUUAACCCUCCAUCUUUCUUUGGGUCUAAGCCAGACGAGGAUCCUCAAGAAUUCAUUGACCAAGUCCAGAAGGUCAUUGAUAUCAUGGGAGUCACUUCUUCUCAGAGUACCGAGUUAGCCACAUACCAAUUGCAGGAUGUCACUCACACUUAGUACAAGCAGUGGUUAGCAGAAAGGUUAGAGGAUGCAGGUCUAGUUAAGUGGAAUAAUUUGUCACCACUUUCUUAGAUAGAUUCUUUCCCCAAGAGCUGAGAGAGGCCAAAGUUCUUGAGUUCAUCAAUCUCAGGCAGGGAAAUAUGAAAGUUAAAGAGUAUUCUCUUAUAUUUACUCAGCUAGCCAGAUAUGCCCCUCAUGUGGUUGUGGACAACAGGGAUAAGAUGAGCAAGUUCGUGUCAGGGGUGAAUGAUAGGGUGGUAAAUGAGUGUAGGUCUGCGAUGCUGAACAAUGAUAUGACUUUACCUAGGCUCAUGACCCAUGCUCAACAGAUAAAGGAGCAGAAGGUUAAGACUAGGAAGAGGCAGAACAAGAGAGCAAGAGCAGACAGUUUCAGUUUUUCUCAGCCCAAAUCAGAGGGAGGAAAUCAUUUGCAGUUUCAUCCUAAGUCAGCAGUUCUAGCCCCUUUCUCUGUUAGUGGCCCAGUGCCGACGUUCAGGGACGGCAACAGAGACAGGGCACCAGGCUCUAAAUCUCAGAGCAGUGUUAGCAGUGCCUGCACUUAUUCUUAUUGUCAGACCUGCGGUAAGCACCAUCAGGGUACGUGUAGAGCGGGUCAAGGCAUUUGUUUUGGUUGUGGUAAGCCAAGCCACAGAGUUAGGGACUGUCCUAAGCCAGGUCCUCAGGAUCAGUAGAAUCGUUCCACAGCUUAGUCUGGUUGCCCGAACCUGCAGGGUGCCACUUCCAGUGCUACUAGUGGGAAACGCCCAAAUAGACUCUAUGCUCUUCAGACCCGACAGGAUCAGAAAAAUUCUUUCGAUGUCGUUAUUGGUACGUUAUAGAUUUUCCAUGUUCAUAUUUAUGCUUUGCUAGACCCAGGUACAUCCUUGUCUUUUGUCACUCCAUACAUAGCAGGCGAUUUCAGAAUCAGUCUCGAAAUUUUAGCAGAGCCCUUUUUAGUCUCUAACCCAGUCGGUAAAACCAUCAUAGCUCGACGGGUAUACAGGAACUACCCAUUUAUGAUAUUUCAGAAAUCCACAUCAGCAAAUUUAGUCGAGUUAGAGAUGACUGAUUUUGAUUUUAUUCUCGGCAUGGAUUGACUUCUUUCCUGCUAUGUUAUAGUCAACUACAGAAAUAGGAUAGUUCAGUUUUAGUGCCCGAAUGAGCCCGUCCUAGAGUGGAAGGGUAGCACGUCGUCUUUUAGGGGUCAGCUUAUUUCCUAACUUUGGGUAAGGAAAAUAAUUUCUAAGGAGGGGGUGUAUCAUCUCGUGCAUGUUAAUGAUUCCAGUUCUGAAUCUCCCAGUCUCGAAUCAGUCCAGUGGUUAAUAAAUAUUUAGACAUCUUUCCCAAAGAUCUUCCAAGCAUUUCUCCCGAAAGGGAAAUAAACUUUGGCAUAGACCUUCUCCCAGUACUCAGCCUAUUUCUAUUUCGCCAUACAGAAUGGCACCAGCAGAACUCAAAGAACUGAAAGAUCAGUUGAAGGAUCUCUUAGACAAGGGAUUCAUCAGGCCCAGUGUAUCCCCAUGGGGUACGCCAGUCUUAUUCGUGCUCAAGAAAGACGGUUCUCUCAGAAUGUGUAUUGAUUACCGUCAUCUCAACAAAGUCAUGGUCAAGAAUAGGUAUCUGCUGCCUAGGAUGGACGACUUACUUGACCAACUUCAGGGUGCCAAUUAUUUCUCCAAGAUAGACCUCAGAUCAGGCUAUUAUCAGCUCGAAGUUAGAGAAUGUGACAUUCCGAAGAUAGCUUUUCGUACUCUGUAUGGUCACUUUAAAUUUCUAGUCAUAUCCUUUGGUCUUACCAAUGCCCCUGCAGCUUUCAUGGACUUGAUGAACCGGGUGUUCAAGCAGUACUUAGACACAUUCGUCAUAGUCUUCAUAGAUGAUAUUCUGGUCUAUUCUCCCACAGAGCGUGAUCAUUCAGACCAUCUCAUAAUUGUUCUUCAGACUCUCAGGGAUCAUCAGCUGUUCGCCAAGUUAAGUAAGUGCGAAUUUUGGCUAAGAUCAGUAGCAUUCCUUGGCUAUAUUAUUUCUGAUGAUGACAUUAGAGUAGAUCCUCAAAAAACCAAAGCGGUAAGAAAUUGGCCUCUCCUCAUCACUCCAUCAGAUAUCAAGAUUUUCUUAGGUUUGGUUGGCUAUUACCGACAGUUUUUUGAGGGAUUUUCUUCUAUUGCAUCUCCUAUGUCCAGAUUGACUCAGAAGAAGGUCAAGUUUCAGUGGUCAGAACCUUACGAGAAGAGUUUUCAAGAGUUGAAGACUCGACUCACCUCAGCUUCAGUUUUAGCAUUUCUCAAAGUUUUCGAUGGAUUCAUAGUAUAUUGUGAUACACCCAGAGUAGGUUUAGGUUGUCUCCUCAUACGGUAUAGUCGAGUCAUAGCCUACGCCUCCAGACAGUUAAAGCCCCAUGAGAAGAAUUAUCCUACUCAUGACCUUGAGAUAGCAGCAGUAGUCUUUGCUUUAAAGAUUUGGAGGCAUUAUCUAUAUGGUGUUCAUGUAGACGUCUUCACAGAUCAUAAGAGCCUUCAGUAUUCUUUUCCUAGAAAGAUCUCAAUCUUCGUCAGAGAAGGUGGUUAGAGCUCUUGAAGGAUUAUGACAUGAGUGUCAUUUAUCUUCCUGGCAAGGCCAAUGUAGUGGCCGACACACUCAGUAGACUGUCCAUGGGUAUUGUUUCCCAUGUUGAAGAUGGUAAGAAGAAAUUAGCUCAGGAGAUUCAUCAACUUGCCAGACUAGGCGUUCGCUUAGUCGACUCUUCAGAGAGUGGUGUAUGUGUUCACAUUAGUUUAGAGUCAUUUCUAGUUUCUGAGGUAAAAGAGAAGAAAUACAUGGAUCCUAGCCUUUUCAAGCUAAAAGAGUCAGUUUAGAGUCAGGAAGUAGAGUUUUCUCCCAAGGGGGAGAUGGUGUUCUUCGUUGUCAGGGCCGUUUGUGUGUUCCCGGUGUAGAUGACUUGAGGCAUCAAAUUCUUGCAGAAACGCAUGGUACGCGAUACUCUAUUCAUCCAGGGGCCACUAAGAUGUACCAUGACUUGCGGGAGAUCUAUUGGUGGAGUGGAAUGAAGAGAGAUGUUGCAGAGUUUGUGGCUAAGUGCUCUACAUAUUAGCAGGUUACGAUAGAGCAUCAGAAACCUAGUGGUUCUAUGCAGGAGUUAAAUAUUCCUACUUGGAAGUGGGAAAAAGUGAACAUGGACUUUGUGAUGGGUUUUCCUAGAACACGUUAUCAGCAUGAUUCAGUUUGGGUCAUUGUAGACAGAAUGACCAAGUCAGCUCAUUUUCUUCUAGUUCGUACCUCUUACUCAACCAAGGAUUAUGCCAAACUCUAUAUUAGGGAGUUGGUUAGAUUACACAGUGUUUCACUAUCUAUCAUCUCAGACAGAGGUAUCUAGUUCACCUCUCACUUCUGGAAAGCGUUCCAAAAAGGUCUUGGUACCUAAGUUCAUCUCAAUACAGCGUUUCAUUCUCAGAUAGAUAGUCAAGCAGAAAGGACCAUUCAGACUCUAGAAGAUAUGCUAAGGGCGUGUGCAAUUGAUUUCAAGGGAAGCUGGGAUGACCACUUGCCUUUGAUUAAGUUUGCAUACUACAACAGCUAUCACUCCAGUAUUCAGAUGGCUCCAUUCGAAGCUCUCUAUGGUAGGAUAUGUAGGUCUCCAAUCGGUUGGUUUGAAGUUAGUGAGACCGCAGUCAUAGGGCCUGACUUAGUAUUCGAUGCCUUAGAGAAAGUUCAGUUGAUCAGAGAAAGACUCCGGGCUACUCAGAGCCGACAGAAGUCUUAUGCGGAUGUUUAUAGAAAGGAUCUCAAAUUUGAGGUCGAUGACUAUGUCUAUCUCAAGAUCUCUCCAAUGAAGGGAGUGAAGAGAUUCGACAAGAAGGGAAAGCUCAAUCCUCAAUAUGUCGGUCCCUUCAGGAUUCUCAGUCGCUUUGGCAAAGUAACCUAUGAGCUCGAAUUGCCUUCAGAUCUAGCCUCAGUUCAUCCAGUCUUCCAUGUCUCUUUGCUCAAGAAGUGCAUAGGUAACCCAACAGUUGUAGUCCCUAUUCAGAGUGUUAACAUUCAGAAUAGCCUCUCUUAUGAAGAGAUUCCAAUCGAAAUCCUUGACUAUCAGAGUGUAGGCUGAGGAACAAAAAGUCCCUCUAGUCAAGGUUCUUUGGCGGAAUCAGUCCAUGGAGGGAGCUACUUGGAAAGCAGAAGCAGACAUGCGAACCAAGUACCCUCAUCUUUUCUCCGCUAAUUCAGGCUUAGCUCGAGGUAACCAUUUUCCUUAAGCUUAUUUAGUUACAUGUUCAAAAUUCCAGUAUAAAAUUGGUAUUAAGUAUCAGUGCAUAGCUUAUCAUGCAUUUAUGAGUUCAACUUAUCAGUCAUGCAUCAGAUAUGCAUGUUCAGUUGGGCUAUAUUCAGUUUAGAAUUCAAUUAAGUCCUAAAAUCAUGUGCCAGUUGAGCAUGAUCAUUGUAUGCAUCAUUUUAUAUUUUCUCCCCACUCAAGCAGUCAUUUUUCGAGGACGAAUGUUUCCAAGGGGGAGAUAUUGUAAUACCCCGAAAAAUCCAAACCAAUAUUAGAGCCAUGUACCAAGAUCAUGCAUAGCACAUCAUGGUUAUUUUAUAGUUUUAUGAGUAGGUUAGAUGUAUAUUAAGGCUUCAAAUAACUCCCAGCUAUCAGACGAAUCAAAACAUUCCUCACCGAUCGAAUUCUUGAGAAAGAUAUUGCCAUAGUCAGAUUAAAACGAGCAUAUAUCUUAUUAU
rnacentral:lncRNA from 1 species